rnacentral:lncRNA from 1 species
ACAUUUUCAAAAUAUCAGAAAAUGAGAACCCAAGUCCACUACUCCCUGUCUCACUCACAGAGUGAGAGAAACAAGAAGCAUGGGACAGAGAAGACAUGUGGGCCCCUUCCCUGCAACGGGAGGAAGAAGUUUACAGCCUUGAGGUGAUUUCCACGAUACUCAGUAAUAAGUAUCUAACUUGUUCAGAACUUCCUGCUGAUGCCAAGAAGCCUCUGGGAAGAUUGGCAAGUGUCUCUCUGUCUGUCUGUCUCUGUCUCUCUCUCACCAGCCCCCCACCCCCAACAUGAGCUGUGAGGAGUUACAGAAGGAUUUGAUUUGGGGAUGAGAGGUGCUACCGCAAGGGCGGGGGUGGGGUGCAGGCAGCAGCUGGUGUCUAAGCCAAGAACAGGGAAAAAGAGCAGAAGUGAGAGAUGACAGUGGAAAGUCAAGGACCAAGGAAAAAACCCUGAGAAGUCAGGCCUAGAAGCUUUGGGCUGUGGUUUGGAGGAAGGAGGGGGAUCGGGUGGUGCCCUGGGCAAAGGGACGUUCUUUCCCUCAGCUGAGGUUUCCCCUUCCGAGAUGCGUGCAGACCUGACUUCGGUGCCCAGCCUGCCCACUGAGGAACAGGAUGUCUGGGUGCUGGGCUGUGCCCCAUCUCUGAGCACUGCCUGCUGAGCCAGAAAUCAACAGAAACCUCCGGAUUGUUCCCGGGGGGAAUGCUAGAGCCGGUGUUAGCUCUACAGGACAGGUAAGGAGGCGAGUAAGACGAUCCUGACAAUUCUGAUUUUUUUUUUUUUAGAAGAUUGUAUAUAUUUUUAUUUUUAAAGAUUUUAUUUUUUUGAGAGAGAGAUAAAGAGUAUGAGUGGGGUCAGGGGGAGAGGGAGAAGCAGAUUCACCGCUGAGCGGGGAGCCCGAUGCAGGACUCGAUCCCAAGACCCUGGGAUCAUGACCUGAGCCAAAGGCAGAUGCUGAACCAACUGAGCCACCCAGGGCCCCAUAAAAUUUUAUUUUUAAGUAAUCUCUACACCUAACGUGGGGCUCGAACCCACAACCCCGAGAACAAGACUCACAAACAGGCUCUGCUGACUAAGCCAGCCAGGUGCCCUGAGAGUUUGGAUUUUUGCCCCCUUGACUGCCUAAGUGGGAAAUCAGUGCCACCCAUGGUCCCCAGAUCAAUCAGGGAGUCCCAAGACAGUGCUUCAUGUGUGUCCUCAGGCCAGCCUGUCAAGGUGUCACGGUGUCACAGUGCCACCAGCUGAUGUCAGGUUCUGUGUCUCUGGCUUCUGCUUCCACUGCUGACCACACAUA